GGGCUCGUAGCUCAACUGGAUAGAGCACGGGACUUCGGAUCCCGGGGUUGUGGGUUCGAAUCCCACCGAGCCCG
rnacentral:tRNA from 1 species